rnacentral:rRNA from 1 species
AUGGCUGCCGUUAGAGAUGAAUCGGACUACGACAGUAGCCGUCCGUCGUCGCUCACGGCGCUGGGCUCCCGCCGGAGCUGGAUCAGCGACAUUGGCAGCUCCAGCUCGGUCUCUGGCGGCGGCGAGACCCCCUGCCGCCACAGCAAGCCCCACAAGGCCAACCAUGCCGAGUGGGAGGCCAUCGCGCGCGUCCGCGCAGCCGCCGCCGGCGGCAGCGUCGGGCUGGACCACUUCCGCCUCGUGCGGCGCCUCGGCAGCGGCGACCUCGGAAACGUCUACCUGUGCGAGCUCCGUGAGCCGCCGCACCGGCCGUCGUCGUCCGGGCGCCUCUACUACGCCAUGAAGGUGGUGGACAAGGACGCGCUGGCGUUCCGCAAGAAGCUCCGGCGCGCGGAGGUGGAGCGGGAUAUCCUCCGCGCCCUCGACCACCCCUUCCUGCCCACGCUGUACGCCGACUUCGAGGCGUCGCACUACGCCUGCCUCGUCAUGGAGUUCUGCCCCGGCGGCGACCUCCACGUCGCCCGGCAGCGGCAGCCCGGCCGCCGGUUCAGCGUCGCCUCCGCGAGAUUCUACGCGGCGGAGACGGUGCUGGCGCUGGAGUACCUGCACAUGAUGGGGGUGGUGUACCGGGACCUCAAGCCGGAGAACGUCCUGGUGCGCGCCGACGGCCACAUCAUGCUCUCCGACUUCGACCUCUCCCUCAAGUGCGACGACGUCGUCCCCAAGCUCCUCCGCCAACCGAGAGGGGACGGCGCCGGCGCCAACCCGAGCUCGACCAAUGGUCACUCCUCGUCGUGCGUCCCGCCGAUCCAGCCGGUGCUGUCAUGCCUAUUCAACGGUGUAACACGCAAGCGCCUGCUGCCGAUGCCCGGCGCGGCGGCCGUGGACGCCGACGCCGCCGAGCAUUCCGAGCCCGAACAGACGUCUGAGUCUGACCCUGCAGAGGUGGUGGUGGAGCCUGUGGCGGCCCGGUCUAGGUCUUUCGUGGGCACGCACGAGUACCUGGCGCCGGAGGUGAUCUCCGGACAGGGCCACGGCAGCGCGGUGGACUGGUGGACGCUGGGAGUGUUCAUGUACGAGAUGGUGUACGGCCAGACGCCGUUCAAGGGGGCGACCAACGAGGAGACGCUCGCCAACAUCGUCGGCAAGCGGCCCGUGGCCUUCCCGCGGGUCCCGUCGUCGGCGAGCUGCGGCGAGCGGGAGGAGCUGCUCCGGGCGCAGGACCUCAUGGCCCGGCUCCUGGCGAAGUGCCCCGGGAAGCGACUGGGGAGCUGCACGGGGUCAGGCGAGGUGAAGCGGCACGCGUUCUUCCGCGGUGUGAACUGGGCGCUCGUCAGGUCCGUCCGACCGCCGGAGGUGCCCGUGCCGGUGGCAAGGAGCAAGGCGAAGACGAUGAGCAGGAAGGAGCGGCAGGAGCCGUACAAGCAACAACAUGAGGACCAUUUCGACUACUUUUGA